UACGGAGGGGGCAAGCGUUGUUCGGAAUCAUUGGGCGUAAAGGGCGCGUAGGUGGCCGUCCAAGUCGGGUGUGAAAUCCCUCGGCUCAACCGAGGAACUGCAUUCGAUACUGUUCGGCUAGAGUCCGGGAGGGGAUGGUGGAAUUCCCAGUGUAGCGGUGAAAUGCGUAGAUAUCGGGAAGAACACCAGUGGCGAAGGCAGGUCUCUGGGCCGAUACUGACGCUGAGGAGCGAAAGCGUGGGGAGCGAACAGG
rnacentral:rRNA from 1 species